UGCAGUCGUACGAGAGUUUUUAACUCAAGUGGCGGACGGGUGAGUAACACGUAAGAAUUUACCUUUAGGAGGGGGACAACAGCUGGAAACGGCUGCUAAUACCCCAUAUGCUUUCGAGUGAAAUGGAUUUUUCCGCCUAGAGAGAAGCUUGCGGCUGAUUAGCUUGUUGGUAAGGUAAUGGCUUACCAAGGCGACGAUCAGUAUCUGGUUUGAGAGGACGAUCAGACACACUGGAACUGAGACACGGUCCAGACUCCUACGGGAGGCAGCAGUGGGGAAUUUUCCGCAAUGGGCGAAAGCCUGACGGAGCAAUCUCGCGUGAGGGAUGACUGCCUAUGGGUUGUAAACCUCUUUUUUCAGGGAGGAAUCAAUGACGUGUACCUGAAGAAUAAGCAUCGGCUAACUCCGUGCCAGCAGCCGCGGUAAGACGGAGGAUGCAAGUGUUAUCCGGAAUCACUGGGCGUAAAGCGACUGUAGGUGGUUUAAUAAGUCAACUGUUAAAUCUUGAAGCUCAACUUCAAAAUCGCAGUCGAAACUAUUAGACUAGAGUAUAGUAGGGGUAAAGGGAAUUUCCAGUGGAGCGGUGAAAUGCGUAGAGAUUGGAAAGAACACCGAUGGCGAAGGCACUUUACUGGGCUAUUACUGACACUCAGAGACGAAAGC
rnacentral:rRNA from 1 species